CUGCGGUGCCACGCCGGGGUAUUGGGCAACGUGGCGGGCAGUUUGUGCUUGAGGACGUGGCGGACGGCUUCCUGGUCAGUGGCAGUUGGGUACUGGGCCUUGUAUUCCAGCAGCGCAGACUCCAUGACGGCCUGCAGUGGGUGGACGACAGGCGUCGGGGUGCCGUACAUGCAAGAACAUGUGAUGUGCAUGAUGCAGCGUGGCAUUGGUUUGCAGCCCACCCACCUCAACACGGGGAUCCUGUAGCCGCGCACUUUGCCGCAGAACAUACAUGAGCAAGAGGUACGGCUUGCACAACGUCCACACACUGAACAGGCACUUUGCACGAUAGGCCAAGUACUUC
rnacentral:lncRNA from 1 species